rnacentral:misc_RNA from 2 species
ACACCUCAACUCUCAUGGCUUGCCGUGAUGAGCUUGGACUUUGGGGGUCUUGUUGGCCUGUGAGCCAGCUCCUCUUAAAUGAAUUAGCUUGCCGGUGUUUGGUGGCAUCACAGGUGUGAUAACUAUCUACGCUUGUGGUUUCCCAUCAGAUAACCUUCAGUGAUGGAGGUUCACCGGGGCUUAUAAACGUCUCUCCUCGGUGAGGACAGAUUUUGACC